GCAAGUCGAACGCUGAAGCACCAGCUUGCUGGUGUGGAUGAGUGGCGAACGGGUGAGUAAUACGUGAGUAACCUGCCCUUGACUCUGGGAUAAGCCCGGGAAACUGGGUCUAAUACUGGAUGCUACAUGUCACCGCAUGGUGGUGUGUGGAAAGGGUUUACUGGUCUUGGAUGGGCUCACGGCCUAUCAGCUUGUUGGUGAGGUAAUGGCUCACCAAGGCGACGACGGGUAGCCGGCCUGAGAGGGUGACCGGCCACACUGGGACUGAGACACGGCCCAGACUCCUACGGGAGGCAGCAGUGGGGAAUAUUGCACAAUGGGCGAAAGCCUGAUGCAGCGACGCCGCGUGAGGGAUGACGGCCUUCGGGUUGUAAACCUCUUUCAGCAGGGAAGAAGCCACAAGUGACGGUACCUGCAGAAGAAGCGCCGGCUAACUACGUGCCAGCAGCCGCGGUAAUACGUAGGGCGCAAGCGUUGUCCGGAAUUAUUGGGCGUAAAGAGCUCGUAGGCGGUUUGUCGCGUCUGCUGUGAAAGCCCGGGGCUUAACCCCGGGUGUGCAGUGGGUACGGGCAGACUAGAGUGCAGUAGGGGAGACUGGAAUUCCUGGUGUAGCGGUGGAAUGCGCAGAUAUCAGGAGGAACACCGAUGGCGAAGGCAGGUCUCUGGGCUGUUACUGACGCUGAGGAGCGAAAGCAUGGGGAGCGAACAGGAUUAGAUACCCUGGUAGUCCAUGCCGUAAACGUUGGGCACUAGGUGUGGGGGACAUUCCACGUUUUCCGCGCCGUAGCUAACGCAUUAAGUGCCCCGCCUGGGGAGUACGGCCGCAAGGCUAAAACUCAAAGGAAUUGACGGGGGCCCGC
rnacentral:rRNA from 1 species